AAUUAUUUAUUUGAUGGUUUCUUACUACAUGGAUAACCGUAGUAAUUCUAGAGCUAAUACAUGUGUAAAGUCCCGACUCUCGCGGGGAGGGAUGUAUUUAUUAGAUUAAAAACCAAUGCGGCCUUUGGUCGGACUUGUGUUGAUUCAUAGUAACUUUUCGGAUCGCAGGGCUUCACGCCGGCGACAGUUCAUUCAAAUUUCUGCCCUAUCAGCUUUCGACGGUAGUGUAGUGGACUACCGUGGCAUUUACGGGUGACGGAGAAUUAGGGUUCGAUUCCGGAGAGGGAGCCUGAGAAACGGCUACCACA
rnacentral:rRNA from 1 species